rnacentral:lncRNA from 1 species
UUAUUUUACUUCGAGUGCGGAAGUAAUAGAGAUACAAGGAAAUACGAAUAACUAAAAACCAAACAAACUAGAGCACUAAUUAAGAUAAGGUGCAAGUGCGAGAUUAAGUGUGAAAUACACAAUCAGAGCAUAAAUAGCCAAAGUGCAGUCCGACUAGAAAAGUACUAAUUACAUAACACCCAAAGGUGAUCUUACAAUUGUGAUGUUCUAUCAGAACCACCGUCGAAAUCCCCGUGAGCCACCAAAGCACUUCUUGAAGGGAAAUAAUGAGAUUUAAGUGGGAUUUCUAGUGACUAGCAUGCAUAUACAAUUCAAAAUUUAUAUACAUUUGCAACGGAAGCAUGUUAUCACAUAAUAUCAAAGCUAUAGUCAUGCAAAUCCCCUUCAAGAAGCAUAGGUUCAUAUAUGAUGCAUCUAAGAAAAUAUUGAAGAACAAAGUGAAGGUAUAGUUUUAUACCUCUUGAUCUAGACUUGAGACCAAGGAUGGACCACCUCCAAGCUCUUUGUUCUUGGAACUCCUUGAGUCUAGCCUCCCUCCUUGCUUCCUCCACCUUGAUAGAUUUAGAGCUCCUUUGAUUCUCCUCUAGUCUCCAAAGUAGAAAACCUCUAAAGAUCCACACCCACUAGUGUAGUGAGAUGGAUGUUGGAAUAACCAAAAAGGAGAAAAGAUGAUUAGCUAUUUCUCCCUUAUGGUGGCCGGCUAUGUAGUGUGUAGAGAGAGAGAGACUUUUGUUUUCUCUAGUUGAAAAGAACACACAAAAAACCCUAAUGAAACUUUUUCACUAAACUUCCUUUAUAAAUGUCAAAGAAGUGAGUCAACCACUUGACUCCCUCUCUCUCCUUUCACUUUGAUUGGCCGGCCCCCUUAGUGUGGGUUUGGAGUUUGGGCUUUCAUCAUCUGAAGUCAUUCUAUGCUUGAAUAAAAGGACCCAAUUCGUUUGGGCCCAAUGGGCCCGAAUGAACCCGAACUUUUCUUUAAGUCUUAAACGAUCUUUUAUCGUUUAUAUGAUUUCUUUAGACUUUCUAAUUAAUCAUAACACUUAAUUAAUCCAAUUAAUUAAUUCCAUCAUCCUUUAGUUGUCUCACCACAAGAGUGUUUCAGUGUACAAUCGUUUUAGGUUCUAAUUAGCAAGGCAGUGAGGUGAUUGGUAUCAAUCCAAUUGAUUAUUAUUUAUCCAAUCACUUAGUGAAUUAAAACUUACUUUUAAUUCUCCUUCUUCUUUGAUGAAUACUUAUUUAAUCAUCUAGAAGAACUCACAAGCCAUGAGUGACAUCUAACCAUAUAUCAUGGCUACCCACGCUAAUGUAGAAUUUGUUCGGAGAACCUAUUCAGUUGGAAUUACAAUGUAAUUCGAUCAUUCUCUAAUACAAUACUCACAAUCACAUUACUAGGGUAUGGAUAUUUAAUGUCAAACCUGUCAAACCCCUAAUGUGAUUAUAUCAAGUUAUAUGAUUCUAUUGAGUCGUAUAGGAACACUUUCCAUCAUUACGCUCGAUACUUCGGCCGAAGAUUCCUGAAUCAUAUCUUAGAGUAUUCAUCCUCUCAUAACGAGGAUUAGAGAUCUCUUGUUGAUCAUUCACAUGCCUCUGAGAAUAAAUCACUGACCCUAACAAUGCAUAUAACACAUCCAAGAUGAGAUGUGGUCACGUCUCAUUAUCAAAUGAUCAGCAACGUAUCCCCAAGACAACUAUGAUGUCUCAGGUCAAAGGAUUACUUACAUUAUUCCAACCAGUAGAGUUACUUGCUUGACAUGUGAGUAGACCUCCAUGCAAGUACUCUCGUUUGAUUGUGUUCAGUGAACUCAUUCCCAUAAUGAGCACCUACACACUUGUCUUAGUGUCACUACACGAAUGGCAUGAGACUUUCUAUCCUUCCCAUUGGAAGGGGACAUAGUAUGUACUGGUCUAUGUAUUGUUAGUGUCCCUCUGACAAUCCUAUGACCAGGAACCUUUUUGGACAUCAUGGUUAUGUGAAGAAGGUCUCUGCUGUCUAACAUCAUUAGAUUACUUCUUCCAUUGAUCCAUUGUCCAUGGAAUCACUCUUUAGGACGUAUAUCAUUUAUUGAGAUAGUCCUAAUGAGUGACUUUGCCUUUUGAUGUAUUAGAGUUUUCCAUACAUAUAGAUAUUGUCCUGAAAGGUUUCUUCCAAAGAUUGACUUUUAGAGCAUAUCUCUAACACUUCUACCUAAAACCUGAAGGGGCGCAAAACGGAAAGUGUGAAUGGGAAAAAAGAAAGUUUUUCAAAAUCAUUUCAUUUCUCAAAAGUUCUAACCCCUCAUCGUAAAACCUGUAUAAUUUCCCAGAAAAUAAUAUAUGCUAUAACAGAAAUCAUGCUCAGGAUGAAAAUCAUGCUAUAAAAGAAAUCAUGCUCAGGAUGAAAAUCCAUAGAAAUAUACCAUGCCAAAGUGCCUCAAUAAAAUGCCAUAGUAAUUCAGUUAAAAUGUAUCA